rnacentral:rRNA from 1 species
UCCAGACUCCUACGGGAGGCAGCAGUCGGGAAUAUUGCGCAAUGGAGGAAACUCUGACGCAGUGACGCCGCGUAUAGGAAGAAGGUUUUCGGAUUGUAAACUAUUGUCGUGAGGGAAGAAAUUGACAGUACCUAAGGAGGAAGCUCCGGCUAACUACGUGCCAGCAGCCGCGGUAAUACGUAGGGAGCAAGCGUUAUCCGGAUUUAUUGGGUGUAAAGGGUGCGUAGACGGGAAAUUAAGUUAGUUGUGAAAUCCCUCGGCUCAACUGAGGAACUGCAACUAAAACUGGUUUUCUUGAGUGUUGGAGAGGAAAGCGGAAUUCCUAGUGUAGCGGUGAAAUGCGUAGAUAUUAGGAGGAACACCAGUGGCGAAGGCGGCUUUCUGGACAAUAACUGACGUUGAGGCACGAAAGUGUGGGGAGCAAACAGGAUUAGAUACCCCAGUA